UUCCAGAUGCCUCUGAGGUUGGCUCUCCACAGGCUCUAAUGAAGCCCCCAUUAAAAAACACAUUUUCCGGAGGCAUGAAUGGACGGCGAUUGCUCUUGAGGAACACAGGAGGCUGCUGGAUCCUGCCACUGCCCCCCCCCCCCAGCGAGGAUGCUGCAGGGAUUUUUAGGAUGAACCUUUUGGUGAAGUUUAAGAUAAGAUGCACUUGGACCUGGAAUCCUCCUGCAUUUCCUCAUCCACCCAUGCCUGACACAUCUGCCGCAUUUUGCAUGUUCGUCCAUCUCUGUGGGCUGGAUUUUGCUGUAUCACAGCCCUGGACACCUGUAGGAACAAAACUGGCAAAAUCCAGAAAGACAGUGAUGAGUCUGUGGACUAAAAGAUCAUUU